AUGUUGCACAGCACUACAGUUCAUGCUUUUGCCUUUUGAAACUAGGACAUCAAUUUUAAACCCUUUUGAAUUUCAGCAAAAUAGAGCAUCGACUAUAAAGUCUACUUAUGACAUUGCUAACUGAAUGUUCAGACAAAAGUAUUACACAGUGCAAAAAAAGUCUUAUAAGGUUGAAGUGUAAAUUUCUUACAUAAUAUCCCAGCCUAGUAUGCAGAGACUAUAAGGCUGAAUUUAGGUUAGCAUACUAGUAUAUUAUUAGCAUUUAUAGGUAAGAGUAAUAUGGUAGUAUGUUAUUCUGAAUUCAUCCUGGGUGGGAUAAUCAUUUUAAUGUUUGACCAAUGGCAGAUGAGGGAAGUUUUCAGAAAACCUGUUUAAAAGUUAAAUUUUUACAGUGCAGUUCCUUUUGGUGCUUAGUGGAGUACACUUUAUACACUUAAGUUUUAACAAUCUAUUUUUUAUCCUAACAUUUUUUAAAACAACAGCAUGUCCGUGAGCCUUGUUUUAAAUGGUUAUUUCAUUCAUGCUUGUGUUGUGAGUUGUGAUGUCACCCACAGGAUCUCAGAGUGUCUGUGAUAAAACUUGUCACACCAUUAUUAAGUCUCACCCACCACAACCAGCAAAGGAAUGGCAAUCAAUGACCCUUGCCAUAAGGGCUGAGGUGAAUCCUGUCAAACAUGCAUGCGUGGCAUACAAAUCCACAGAAUUUCAGGACAGGGAGUCGAGAAAUGGGCCUGUCCACUGCUAUUCCAAUCCCAUCCUGGGAGGGCACUGUGGCAGAAGCAAAACACUACAGGUAUACAACUCUUUUCAGGGUGGACGUUUAAAAUAAAAACAUUCAUUAAACCAAAUAUAUUCAAUUCAAAUUCAUUGACGGGAUAGUGCUGUAUGGUUUUAAGAUAUGAAAGGGAUAAUGUACAGCAGAGGUUCUCAACUCUGGCCCUCAAGAUCCACUUUAAUGCAGAGUUAAGCUCCAACCUUGAUCACUGGAUCUGUGACAACUCAGGAACGGAGAGUUUGUGAUGGUGUUUCAAGACUAAAAGAUGUAGAUAAAGAGGGAGAAGACUGACAGCUGGUGAGCACUGAGCCUUGCCCCGUGGUCCCACUAGAUCUGAUUACAGUGUUCUUGGAGUGGAAAGUAUGCUGGGGUGCAUCCGUGUUACCUUCAACUCUGGGAUCCAUCAUCAGGGUACAGGGGACCAGGAGUAGAUCCCUUCUCCACACCCUGGAAAUCCCAGUGCCGUCGACACUGAGAGAGAGCUUUACUUGCACGUUCUUAACCAACCUUUCCAGUCAAUUUUAAUUGUAUAAAUGCAUCACUGAAACCAUAUCUCAGUCUCUCAAUCUUUAAACCAAAGGUAGGACACUUUCUAUUGAGGCUUCAAGAAGUGUCAUGACAAGAUUUUAGCAACUACUUAAAAAUGGCACUUGGAAUUACAUUUACACACUGAGGCUAUUUUUAGGGGGAUCACUCAAGCGUUCUUGACCUUCGCAGGGACACAUGAAAGGUCUCCUGCUGGCACAGACGAUGCUCAGUCGCCAAGCAACCAAGAAGUGGCAAGCUCAGCAGAGGUGCUUUAGGGAAAGUCGAGGGAAACAGAAGAGGGUAUACACCACUUAUCUGGAAGGAGAUGUGAUGGAAGGAAGACAGAGGGUUCGGCUUGUGUCCAGGCCAAUGCAACAAAACAUCUUCUGGGAUGAGUCUGAAGGACGGCUUCUGGAUGUAAGGGAGCUGCUGCAGCCAAGUCCACAGUUGACAGACCAAAACA